CCUACGGGUGGCAGCAGUGAGGAAUAUUGGUCAAUGGACGAGAGUCUGAACCAGCCAAGUAGCGUGAAGGAUGACUGCCCUAUGGGUUGUAAACUUCUUUUAUAUGGGAAUAAAAUGUUCCACGUGUGGGAUUUUGUAUGUACCAUAUGAAUAAGGAUCGGCUAACUCCGUGCCAGCAGCCGCGGUAAUACGGAGGAUCCGAGCGUUAUCCGGAUUUAUUGGGUUUAAAGGGUGCGUAGGUGGAUUGUUAAGUCAGUUGUGAAAGUUUGCGGCUCAACCGUAAAAUUGCAGUUGAAACUGGCAGUCUUGAGUACAGUAGAGGUGGGCGGAAUGCGUGGUGUAGCGGUGAAAUGCUUAGAUAUCGCGAAGAACUCCGAUUGCGAAGGCAGUUCACUGGACUGCAACUGACACUGAGGCUCGAAAGUGUGGGUAUCAAACAGGAUUAGAUACCCCUGUAGUC
rnacentral:rRNA from 1 species